rnacentral:rRNA from 1 species
UAGGGAAUCUUCNNGCAAUGGACGGAAGUCUGACCGAGCAACGCCGCGUGAGUGAAGAAGGUUUUCGGAUCGUAAAGCUCUGUUGUAAGAGAAGAACGAGUGUGAGAGUGGAAAGUUCACACUGUGACGGUAUCUUACCAGAAAGGGACGGCUAACUACGUGCCAGCAGCCGCGGUAAUACGUAGGUCCCGAGCGUUGUCCGGAUUUAUUGGGCGUAAAGCGAGCGCAGGCGGUUAGAUAAGUCUGAAGUUAAAGGCUGUGGCUUAACCAUAGUACGCUUUGGAAACUGUUUAACUUGAGUGCAAGAGGGGAGAGUGGAAUUCCAUGUGUAGCGGUGAAAUGCGUAGAUAUAUGGAGGAACACCGGUGGCGAAAGCGGCUCUCUGGCUUGUAACUGACGCUGAGGCUCGAAAGCGUGGGGAGCAAACAGGAUUAGAUACCCUGGUAGUCCACGCCGUAAACGAUGAGUGCUAGGUGUUAGACCCUUUCCGGGGUUUAGUGCCGUAGCUAACGCAUUAAGCACUCCGCCUGGGGAGUACGACCGCAAGGUUG